AUUAGGCUUUUAAUUGGGGUCUUGUAUGAAUGGCCGGACAAGAAGCUAUCUGUCUCGAGAAUAAAAAUUGAAAUUGACUUUCAGGUGAAAAGGCUUGAAUAUUUUAAAGGGACGAUAAGACCCUAUAAAGCUUAAUAAUUUAUAUAUAUUUAAAUAAUUUGUUAGUAUAAUAUAAUUUAAUUUAUAAAUUAUUUCGUUGGGGCGACGGUAAUAUAAUUUGUAACUGUUUAAGUACUUAAUUCAAAAAUAUUUGUGUUUAGUGAUCUGUUGUUGACAAUUAAAAGUUAAAGUUACUUUAGGGAUAACAGCGUUAUUUAUUUUGAGAGUUCAUAUCGACAAAGAAGUUUGCGACCUCGAUGUUGAAUUAAAAUUUUAUCUCGGCGUAGCAGUUAAGAUAGUAGGUCUGUUCGACCUUUAAAAUUUUA
rnacentral:rRNA from 1 species